CGCGUAAGAAUCUACCUUUAGGAAAAGGAUAACAACUGGAAACGGUUGCUAAUACUUUAUAUGCUGAGAAGUUAAAUAGGUUACUGCCUAAAGAUGAGCUUGCGUCUGAUUAGCUAGUUGGUAAGGUAAAAGCUUACCAAGGCAAUUAUCAGUAGUUGGUCUGAGAGGAUGAUCAGCCACACUGGGACUGAGACACGGCCCAGACUCCUACGGGAGGCAGCAGUGAGGAAUUUUUCGCAAUGGGCGCAAGCCUGACGAAGCAAUACCGCGUGAAGGAUGAAGGCCUGCGGGUUGUAAACU
rnacentral:rRNA from 1 species